UUUGUGCUGGUAAAAGUAGAAGGGAGUCACACACAUAACAAUCAGUAACAGAGAAAAAAAAUCUAUUUAUUGUCAUAAGAAGAUAGUCACAGUUAAGUAGUUAAUCUGAAAGUGAUAACGAAUUGAAUGGGAGUGUCGUUGAUUCCUUGAACAAAUCCAAAUAUGCUAACACGGAAACGAUAUGAACUAAGAAUGUGUUAGUUAAUGGUUAUUUUCAAACUUGAUACUGGAGCUGAGUGAAACAUUUUUCAACUCGGAUGUCAUCAAACCCCAGGAUAGAAACAAACCCCGGUGAAGAGUCAACUUUGAAAUGGAAGGUUAUUUUACUGAAUCACUGAUGGGGAAUCUUAUGACAAUUGCGAAUUAGUAUUUUAGAAAACGAGAAAUACCAAGUGAUUCACGGUGGAUGGCACAUUAAACGUUUCUGGUGAACUGGAUAAGGAAUCACUUUUGAAAUUCAAUGGAGAGCAUAUUACCAAAUUGAGAUAGUUGCUGAAGUUUCCCGAAGUUUCCGAAAAAAAAGCCGUUACAAAUUACUCUACAAGGCACAGGGUCGAUCAUGAUACUUUUGUCAUGUCAUCUCUUUAUAAACACAGUGGAGUAUUUGUUGUUGUCUUCCAGUAUGAAAGUAUACGAAUCAGGAUUUUUGUGGCUACUUUGAUAUAAAAAACCGUGGCAAAUCAGGGCAAUCAAGAUGCGCCAGACCCAGAUGCGCAACAAUCUAAGGGAGCCAAACUGACUGAAAACAGCCAAAUUAAAUGUUUUGUUGAAA